CCUACGGGUGGCUGCAGUGGGGAAUAUUGGACAAUGGGGGGAACCCUGAUCCAGCCAUGCCGCGUGUGUGAAGAAGGCCCUCGGGUUGUACAGCACUUUCAGUGAGGAAGAACGCCUGGUGGUUAAUACCCAUCAGGAAAGACAUCACUCACAGAAGAAGCACCGGCUAACUCCGUGCCAGCAGCCGCGGUAAUACGGAGGGUGCGAGCGUUAAUCGGAAUUACUGGGCGUAAAGCGCGCGUAGGUGGCUUGAUAAGCCGGUUGUGAAAGCCCCGGGCUCAACCUGGGAACGGCAUCCGGAACUGUCAAGCUAGAGUGCAGGAGAGGAAGGUAGAAUUCCCGGUGUAGCGGUGAAAUGCGUAGAGAUCGGGAGGAAUACCAGUGGCGAAGGCGGCCUUCUGGACUGACACUGACACUGAGGUGCGAAAGCGUGGGUAGCAAACAGGAUUAGAUACCCUAGUAGUC
rnacentral:rRNA from 1 species